AACGUAGGUUCCGAGCGUUAUCCGGAUUUACUGGGCGUAAAGCGCGUUCAGGCGGUUCGGCAAGUCGGGCAUGAAAUCUCUCGGCUCAACCGGGAGAGGUUGUCCGAUACUGUUGGACUUGAGGGCAGUAGAGGGUGGUGGAAUUCCUGGUGUAGCGGUGAAAUGCGCAGAUAUCAGGAGGAACACCGGUGGCGAAGGCGGGUCUCUGGGCCGAUACUGACGCUGAGGAGCGAAAGCGUGGGGAGCGAACAGG
rnacentral:rRNA from 1 species